GUUGCUCACAAACUCUGUGACAAUGGACACCAGGAUGCACGCCAGCAGGGUGACGGCCCACGGUGGGAGGCUACUCAGAGACAACAUCUGGUGCCCAAUCCACGUGGAAAGGCCGGAGCUCUGCAGGAGACAAGGAGAGGAGAGGCUUCCUGAGAAGAAAGCCAGAACAAAGAGUGUAAGACCUCCAGAAGACCUGAACUGAAAGUAAAGAACAGUUCCAAGAGCUUAAGUAACAAGACCAAGGUCAUGUGGAUGGUAAGUGGCAGCUCUUGAUCCCAAGCCUGGACUCAGACUCCAAAGACUAUUUUCUUCCUGACUCCACACUGUAGCUUCCCUGAAAAAGCGGGACUUUCAAGGGAACAAAGUGCUUCCUGGGUCCACGACUAUCCCACAGAAUCUAGGAGGGGACACUGGCAGGUACUGCCUGAAGGGUUUGGGUUAGGGGGUUGUUCUCAGAGACAAUAUCCUUUACUUUUCAAAGAAGGAAUCCCAACCAGGAACAAAGCCAGGCUCCCGGGUAAACCACAGCACCGUCAUCAGGAUGAAGAAAAAUCCAGUCACCAUUUCCGGGUAGCUAUAAAAGAAAACAGACCCACUCCAGGAAUUGGGAAGUAUCUGUUAGCUUUCAGACUUUGCUUUGGGAUGCUCCUGUAUGCAGAGCUCCAAUAGUGGGGACCUAAAACGCAGCUACUGCUUAACCACUUGGACUUGGAAUACAGCAGAGCGGAAGGGUGGCCCUUAGAGUCUGGGCCAGCUUGACUUUGGCGUUAAGUAGCACCUCUAAAUGCCUGGAUUCGUAGCUGAGGAAAAUUCCCCCAGCUCAAGGGACCGCUGAGAACAAGGCUGCCUCUGUGCACACUUUACCUGCCACGCUUUCUCCUGGGGAAGGAGAGAGGGUGAAGGGCUGAUUCUUACGUAAUGGCUCCCAGCUUUUCAUAUUCCUCUUGGAUCCUCUUCUCUGAUAACUCUUCCCUUUUGGUCUUCUUCUUCUUACUCAGAGAGCAGGUCUCUUUAAAACUGAGAUGGGAGAAUGAGCAAAAGAAUAAAGGAAGCACACUUCUGAGGCCCAGAGGAGAAGAGGUCUUAAGCAAAUACUAAACUACUGGCUGGCUGGCUGUGAUGGCUCUUCUCUCCACUCGCCCCACCUAUCAUGCGACUUGAUCUCUUGAUCUGCCAAGUUACACAGCCUCUCAUCAGCCUUCUCCCCAGCCUUUCGGAGCUCAUAGGGAAGUGCAGAGUCCACGUAUGUUUAGAGUGUCUAGAACAUGUGAUGCCUGACUCCUCAUCUAGUCCACCGCAUCCUCCUCCGGGCAUCCUCUGUGGUUACUUGGCAGCUCCCCGCUGGGUGGCACCCUCCAGGGCUUGCGCCAUGGCCCUGGAUGGACAGGAGAGCCUUGAUGGCAGGGCCCUGGGACUCACUUGCAGCCCAGGAACAGCCAGUGCAUCCAGAACCAGCUGACCACCAGCAUGAUGAGGGAGAUGGGGAAGCUGAAGAGGAACCAGGUGCCAAAGUUGACCACUUCUGCUGCUGGAUACUGGCUGGAGGGGAAAGAACCAGAGAUUUCCUUGUGUCUGGUUGAUGAGUUCUGUGCAACAGAAGGAUCAUCUCUCCUCUCUUGAGACCGUCUCCUGGG